rnacentral:pre_miRNA from 1 species
UGACAGAAGAUAGAGAGCACAGAUGAUGAUAUGCAUGGAGAGUCUGCAUCUCACUCCUUUGUGCUCUCUAUGCUUCUGUCAUC